GGGUUAUUGCGGUCGGCGGAAAGCAGUGGAAGCUUUUAAAGGCGUAGCCUUGUCAUGCCUCUCUCCAGGACUCACAGUAUGACCCGCGGGCCACUUCCCUUUAAGGAGCGUGUCAGGGGUGGGACCUGGAUGUGUCCUUCCCGCCGCCGACUCCUUUAAGGCGCGGCCCUCGUCCCCCGGCAGAAAAGCUGCUUAAAGGCGACGCGUGGCGCGAUGGCGGCGUUGCCACGCGGGUCACGCGGGCUGCCGCUGCUGCCACUGCUCCUACUGCUGCCGCCGCUGGGCGGCCCGCGCGGCGCGGACGGCUACUUUCCAGAGGAGCGCUGGAGCCCCGAGUCCCCGCUACAGGCGCCGCGCGUGCUCAUCGCGCUGCUGGCGCGGAACGCGGCACCCGCGCUGCCCGCCACGCUGGGCGCCCUGGAGCAGCUGCGCCACCCACGGGAGCGCACGGCGCUGUGGGUGGCCACAGAUCACAACACUGACAACACUUCAGCCAUACUUCGAGAGUGGCUGGUGGCAGUGAAGGGUUUAUACCACUCUGUGGAGUGGCGACCGGCAGAGGAACCCAGCUCUUACCCAGACGAAGAAGGCCCCAAACACUGGUCCGAUUCCCGCUACGAGCAUGUCAUGAAACUGCGCCAAGCAGCCUUGAAGUCAGCUAGGGACAUGUGGGCUGACUACAUUCUGUUCAUGGACAUCGACAACUUGAUCACCAACCCCGACACUCUGAGCCUGCUCAUCGCUGAGAACAAGACAGUGGUGGCCCCCAUGCUGGACUCCCGAGCGGCAUACUCCAACUUCUGGUGUGGGAUGACUUCGCAGGGCUACUACAAGCGCACCCCUGCCUAUAUCCCCAUCCGAAAACGAGACCGCAGGGGCUGCUUUGCAGUUCCCAUGGUGCACUCUACCUUCCUCAUUGACCUGCGUAAGGCUGCAUCCAGGAACCUGGCCUUUUACCCAACACACCCAGACUACACCUGGUCUUUUGAUGACAUCAUCGUCUUUGCCUUCUCCUGUAAACAGGCAGAGGUGCAAAUGUACGUGUGCAAUAAGGAGGUGUACGGCUUCCUGCCCGUGCCACUGCGUGCGCACAGCAGCCUGCAGGACGAAGCAGAGAGCUUCAUGCACGUGCAGCUGGAGGUCAUGGUGAAACAUCCACCAGUGCAGCUCUCCCGAUUCAUCUCAGCACCCAGGAAGACUUCUGACAAGAUGGGCUUCGAUGAGGUCUUCAUGAUCAACCUGAAGCGGAGGCGGGACCGGCGAGAACGCAUGCUGCGGGCACUACAUGAGCAGGAGAUUGACUGCCAGCUGGUGGAGGCUGUAGAUGGCAAAGCCAUGAACACCAGCCAGGUGGAAGCCAUGGGCAUCCAGAUGCUGCCUGGCUACCGGGACCCCUACCAUGGGCGGCCACUCACCAAGGGAGAGCUGGGCUGCUUUCUCAGCCACUACAACAUCUGGAAGGAGGUAGGUGUCUGGGAUGAGGGAGGCCUGAUCCACAGUUCUUGUUCUCUUCACAGAUUAGGUCAGGUCCAGAGUCCCAGGGAGGAAUUAUGGUCCCCAUGCUACCAGUGGCAGAAUCUGUGACUACAUUUUGGUGUCUGUUGCAUGAACUGUCUUCACAUUAGCCCUGAUACACCAGAGUAGGGCAGCCACUGCCUUGGCAUUGCCAAGAUGCAGAAAGUGGACCUGGGGAAUAAAGGGGCCUCAGGUAAAGUCUAAAGCUGUGAUUCCCAAGUGAGAACUGCUUGCCUUGCAACCUGACUCUGCUCACUGUUUAUUGAAGUGAUGGCUUCUGGCUUUAAUGCCACUGGACAACAGCUGGUGAUGUGCCAUGAUGUCACACAAGAACCAGGUUUGGAACCUGCAAAUGGGGCUGGAUGGGUGGGGUGUUGGCUCCAGAUGAUAAGGUACAGGAAGUAGAGCAUCUAACUGUUCAAGAUGAUGGGUGCUUAUGUGAGCCACCCUUCUUUCCUAAAGUUCCUCACGGGCAUUCCGUUAGCUUCAUUAGUUUAUAGUGAAGCCUCCUAGACUGGGGGCAUUGCACCAAGGAGGAAGGGUAAGAGGAGCCUGCCUGUUGCCAAGAGGAAGGCUUCUUAGUAUCACAGGCUAAACACAGGCAGAGGCCCUAGGCAAGAAAAGCCCAGGUAGACAGGCAGAAGAGUGGCAUGGUGGGCAAAUAGCUGGAUGUGGAAGGUUGGGAUGCAUAUUUCCUUCCUAGCAAGCAGUUCUGGGGCUGGGUCUCCUUGACUUGGAGUGGCUCCUUCCCUCAGGUGGUUGACCGGGGACUACAGAAAUCACUAGUGUUUGAGGAUGAUCUGCGUUUUGAGAUCUUCUUCAAGAGACGUCUGAUGAACCUCAUGCGGGAUGUGGAGCGUGAGGGGCUGGACUGGGACCUCAUCAUUCUCUGGCAGGUGGGGGACAUGUAACAAGUCUCUUAUUCUGCACCCCAGCUACGUGGGCCGGAAGCGCAUGCAGGUGGAGCACCCUGAAAAGGCUGUGCCCCAUGUAAGGAACCUGGUAGAGGCUGAUUACUCCUACUGGACGCUAGCCUAUGUAAUCUCCCUGCAAGGUGCUCAGAAGUUGCUUGCUGCCAAGCCACUGGCCAAAAUGCUACCUGUUGAUGAGUUUCUGCCUGUCAUGUUUGACAAGCACCCAAUGUCAGAAUACAAGAGUCACUUCUCUCCCCGCAACCUGCGUGCCUUCUCUGUGGAGCCCCUCCUUAUCUACCCUACACACUACACAGGGGAUGAUGGCUAUGUGAGUGACACAGAGACCUCAGUUGUGUGGAAUAAUGAGCAGGUUAAGACUGACUGGGACCGAGCCAAGUCCCAGAAGAUGCGGGAACAGCAAGCACUGAGCCGUGAGGCCAAGAACUCAGAUGUGCUCCAGUCUCCACUGGACAGCACUGCCCGUGAUGAGCUUUGAGGCAACUGGCAAACAGCCAAAGCCACUGCUACACACCUAAACUUCAUGUGCUUGCCUGGGACUAUAGGGCCACUCAGGCAGACAACAGAGAGCUCUACAAGCACAGAGGUCUCCAUGUCUUCCUGUUUAGCAGCCACUUACACACAGGCAGCAUUUAUGGAGUACUUACUGUAUGCCAGAAAUAGGGCUGACCACCAAGAGAUUGGUCAGGAACAAGCACAGUCAGUUGGGUCCACCAUGAAGGAAGUUCUCUUGUUAGAGCAAUGAAAGAGGCAUGAUUCCCCCUUAUCAGUGAUGAACUGAUCAUCAGUCUUUUAUUGUUCAGACUGAGUCAGGUAUUAGGGAUACAUACUCAUUUUUAAAAUCCGUUUGAGUAUUUAUUGAGGGCUUACUGUAUAUUAGGUACCAUUCUUAGCUCUGGGAAUACUGAAAUAAGAAAAAAAAAUCAAGCAAAAUAUACCAAGCAGCUGCUAUGUGCCAGGUCUUAGGAAGCACUGAUGAGUUAAGUGUCUACUAUGUGUCACUCAGUAGGUGCUGGAGAUGGAUGUCCCAGUGGUGCUUAUCCUUGUAGUGGGCAUGAUAUGCUUACGGUGGAAACAGUCUUAUUGACCCUGUGUGCUAGGCUACACGCUGAGCACAAUGACAGAGUCUAAACAGAAUGUAACAAGCAUUUAUUGAGCACCUAGAGUAUCAGGCCUUUGACUCCCAGUUGGUUGAGAAAUAGCCACCCUCCAACCUGUCUGCCGGAGGACACUGGGCUUCCCUUGUCUAGAAGGGAGCAUUGCUCUCCUUCCCUUGGUUGACUGCUAGGUUCAAGGAUACUCAUGACCUUGCAAGUCCCCCACCCCCCGUGUCCCUGGGCUGGGGCUCCCUUGCCCACCCCUUACUUCCAGAGCUUCUCUCUGCCCUUGUAUCUCAGGUGUCCCUUGGCUGCUCAUAUGUUUGGGGCCUUGAGGUGCCCACCUGUAUUGGGGUGCUCCUCUUGGCCUGAGCAGUGUGUUUACCAGCAGGCCAGGGUGUUGCUGUCCCUUCAAAACCAAAUUGACUGUCAACUGGACAGUGGGUACCAUCUUCUUGGGAUGACUGCUUGCCUGCUCAGGUCUUGGUAACUUGCUCAUGUUUGUAUUAAAUUCUUAUUGGUUUUCACUGAA